UACAGGGGGGGCAAGCGUUGUUCGGAAUUACUGGGCGUAAAGGGUUCGUAGGUGGCCAACUAAGUCAGACGUGAAAUCCCUCAGCUUAACUGGGGAACUGCGUCUGAUACUGGAUGGCUUGAGUGUAGGAGAGGAAUGCGGAACUCCGGGUGUAGCGGUGAAAUGCGUAGAUAUCUGGAGGAACACCGGUGGCGAAGGCGGCAUUCUGGACUACAACUGACACUGAGGAACGAAAGCCAGGGGAGCAAACGGG
rnacentral:rRNA from 1 species